AUUGUCGAAAGGGAAACAGCCCAGACCGCCAGCUAAGGUCCCCAAGUCACGGCUAAGUGGGAAAGGAUGUGGGAAGGCCAAGACAACCAGGAGGUUGGCUUAGAAGCAGCCAUCCUUUAAAGAAAGCGUAACAGCUCACUGGUCAAGCGUUCCUGCGCGGAAAAUGUAACGGGGCUUAAGUGAUACACCGAAGCUGCGGGCUCGAAAGAGCGGUAGCGGAGCGUUCCGUA
rnacentral:rRNA from 14 species